UUCAAGCCAGCCAUCAAACAAUUCAGCAAGAAGCCAACCAAAGCCUCUCCAUCUCCGGCCAUCCAGCCCCAACCAAGCUCGAAGAUGUCAUGCUGCUCAGGAAAGUGCGGCUGCAGCGACGCCUGCAAGUGCGACAGCGGCUGCAACGGCUGCGGCAUGUACCCUGACGUCGAGGCCGCCGGCAAUGGCAAUGUUUUCCUCAUGCCGGAGCUCCGGGUGGGCGGCGAGGGAUGUAUGCGGGAGUUCCGGUGGGAUGGACAUGACCGCGGAGGAGGAAAACGGUGGCUGCACCUGCUCCUGCUGCACCUGCUAGGUCAUCAAUCAACAAGUUGAUCUGGCGGCUUGCAUCACUACUUAAUUACCACCAUGUAACGCUACCUGAUGGAGGGCUAAGCUACACAUGCUAAGCCUGUACGCCCCAAGCUGCAUGCAUGUGUGCAAUAUCUGCAUGCAUGCAUGUCACCCCCUAAAUAAAAACCCCCAGCACUACAGGAAUGGUGACGUACGCCGACGGUGUGGCGUACGCCGACGGGGCCGUCGGCGUAUGGCCCGGCACGGCCAGCUAGCCCGUCUGACCCUCGGCGUAUCGUUGCCGUCGGCGUAGCGAAGUCUACGCCGAGGGCCGCCCUCGGCAUAUAUUUGGCCCUAGGCGUAGACAGGGCUACGCCGACGGCCACCCUCGGCGUAGGCUAUUUUUCAAAUUUGUUUAAUUUUGUAAAAAUCAUAACUAAUUCAUAUGAUGUAAGAAAAAUGCGUAUAAGGUAUCAAAAUGUUCAGAAAAACAUCCUCUAUCCGUUUAUGUCAAAAUCAUGCAUAUUUGAAUCAUGUACAGUACCAUGUUAACAUAGUAACAAUUCAAACACUUUCUUAUAUGUCCUCGGUCAGAAAAUCCCGCGGAACCGUGAUACAUCUCAAACAUAUCUAUAAUUUCUUAUGUUCCAUGCUAGUUUUAUGACAAUACUCACAUGUUUUAUAUACACUUUAUAUCAUUUUUAUGCAUUUUCCGGCACUAACCUAUUAACAAGAUGCCGAAGUGCCAGUUCCUGUUUUCUGCUGUUUUUGGUUUCAAAAAUCCUACACAGGAAAUAUUCUCGGAAUUGGACGAAACAAAAGCCCACGGUCUUAUUUUCCACGGAGCCUUCCAGAAGUCCGAAGAGGAGACGAAGAGGGGCGACGAGGCGGCCACACCCUAGGGGGGCGCGGCCCCACCCCUGGGCGCGCCGCCCUAUGGGGUGGGCCCCUCGGGCGCCUCCCGACUCUGCCCCUUCGCCUACUUAAACUCUCCGUCGCGAAAACCCUAGUACCGAGAGCCACGAUACGAGAAAAGUUACGGAGACGCCGCCGCCGUCAAUCCCAUCUCGGGGGAUUCUGAAGAUCGCCUCCGGCACCCUGCCGGAGAGGGAAAUCAUCACCGGAGGGCUCUACAUCACCAUGCCCGCCUCCGGAUUGAUGCGUGAGUAGUUCAUCCUUGGACUAUGGGUCCAUAGCAGUAGCUAGAUGGUUGUCUUCUCCUCUUGUGCUAUCAUGUUUAGAUCUUGUGAGCUGCUUAUCAUGAUCAAGAUCAUCUAUUUGUAAUGCUACAUGUUGUGUUUGGUGGGAUCCGAUGAAUAUGUAAUACUAUGUCAAGUUGAUUAUUGAUCUAUCAUAUAUGUGUUGUUUA